AAAUUGCCUAGGCUGGGCUUGAACUCGGGAUCCUUAGCCUCCCAGAAUGCUGGGACUAUAGGUGUGCUGCAUCUCGCCUGGCUCAGAACCCUAUUUCUAACAGGACCUGCACCUGCAAACCUCCACGCCUGCUCUCCUUCCCUUUUCAGUGUCUCCCACACCUGUAGUGAUCUCCUGCGCAUGCUUUUGAUUUAGCAUGCAUGCUUUUGAUUUAGCAUCGCUGAGCCGGAAGCUCCAGGAGGGCAGAACCCAGACGUUCACCCAGACAGGAAGAGGUGUCUGGAAUUCAAUUCCAGGCCUGUGCCUAUAACCUCCUCGCCCAGACCACCUCCUCUUUGCCACACCUUUUCUUUUUUGGUACGGGGAUAGAACUCGGGUCCUUCGGCUUGCGCAGCAGACGGUGAAACCACUGAGCUAAAUCCCAGGCCCCCUGCCACACCUUUUCAAAGCUCUCCUCUGUAAGCCACCCACAGCUGCCUGAUAGACACUGGGAAACUCCCCACGACUAGCUAAACUGCGCUGCAAUACCACUUGGCACCAGCAGGUGUCACCAGAGAAUUCCCAGAUGCCGCCCAGUGCCCCAGGGCAGGAUUGUACCAGAGUUGGUUUAAUCAGCCUUGAAGGAAACCAAGCUGCAGCUGCAUCCUUGAGCCUGUGUUCAUGGCCUAUGAGAAUGGAUUCCUAGAAACCGAAUCGCAAAGGGCAAAAAACCCCACACAUUUUAAAUUGCACAGAUAGAGUCAGGCAUGGUGGUGCAUGCCCGUAAUCCCAGCACUCUGGGAGGCUGAGGCAGGAGAAUUAUAAAUCCAGCCUGGGCAGUUUAGCAAUUCAGGGAGACUCUGUCUCAACAGGCUUUUUUUUUUUUAAUUACAGGGCUGGGUGUGUAGCUCAGUGCCAAGGCCAUGGGUUCAGUGCCUGGUGCUGCAAAAAUAAAGUGCAUAGAUUGCACUAACUCACUAAGCCUGGUUUACAGCUGAGGAAUGUCGGGCCCAGAGAAGGCAAAUGGGUCAGCCAGGGGCAUACAGCCAGCUCAUGAGCAGGCCAGGUUUAGAAUUACGUUUCUCUGGCCGUGAACAGCUCUCCGAGCUUGGAGGUCGCCGUCAGCAGGCUGAGGAAUAACCUUGUGCAUGGGGCAGGGAUCUGACAGCUCCUUCCGUUCCUCAGUCAUCCAUUCACAUUCACCAGACAAAAUGCACUCGGGGCAUACAGGCUCGAGACUGUCAGGAAGCCUCAACUAUCAACUGCCUCCUAGUCAAGAAAAUAUGCUGGGCCAGGUGGCGCAUGCCUGUGAUCCCAGGACUCGGGAGGCCAAAGCAGGAGGAUUGCUACAAGUCUGAGGCCAACCUUGGCUACACACUGAGACCCUGUCUCAAAAGUUAAAAAAAAAAAAAAAAAGGAAAAUGAAAAGCAUUGUUGAAGAUGUGAGGAAGUAGAACCCUGUACUCUCUUGGGAAUGUAAAAUGGUAGAAUGAGUGUGGAGAGCAGUACGGGGAUCCUCAAACAAUUAACCAUAAAGCCAUGCCCACAAUACUGCACACCUCUGAUAUCAGUGCUCAGGAGGCUGAGGCAGGGGGCUCGUGAGUUUGAGCCCAACCUGAGCAACUCAGUGCAAUCCUGUCUCAAAAUAAGAAAUAAGGAAGGGGUGGGGGUGGAGUUCAGCACCCUUGGGCUCACUCCCCAGUACAGAAUAAAUAUAGAGAAGUACCGCAUGACUCAGCAGUUCCACUCCUGGGUACAUAGCCAAGAAAACUGAAAACAGGCUCUCAAAGAGGUAUUUGUACAACAGCAGAGCGUGGAAGCCACCCAAGCACGCACCCAUGGUGGGCCAUGGUGGGGAGAGCGGGCUCCCAGUGGAAGGGCAGACCCACCUGCAGGUCUGCUGCAGUGAAAGCCGAGCCUCACAGGAGCCCACAUAGGGCCACGGCACUCGAGGCCACAGAGCGACACAGCAGGCUGUUCAACACACACAGUUUUGGUUUUGCAAGGUGAAGAGGUCUGCACGCGGAGACGGCUGCACAUCGCACAUGUCUUGGCACCCUGAGCUGUGCACCGACAGAUGAAGAAGAGGCAUAUUUCACCAGUUCUUUUAAAUUGGGGGUGUGGUGAGGUUAGAAAUGAAAGCUGCUUUUUAACUGGGCCAGCCUCUGCCCAGGUCACCAGGAGCCUGGGGUGACUCAGCAGCAGCCUCCCCCUCCAUCCCCAGGGUGACAUUCCCAGGCAGCCUCUGAGGACUGGAUGGCGGCGCCUGAGUAAGAAGCCUUUGCUCAGAUGUCAUAAAGCAGCAGCUGGGCCAGGACGCCCAGGCAGCGAGCCAGCUCCACCCCAGCCCCAUUCAGAGCCAAGGAAGCUGAGGACGCAAUGACACCCCCACCUUCUCCGUCCCCUCCUGCUGGACACACAGGCUGGUUCCAGUUUGGAGCAAGAGGAACAGACCUGAAGCAGAAUUGCUACAGCGUCUGAUAAUUCUCCAGUGAAUGUUUUCUGGAGAAAUGGAAUUGCUGGGAGACUGCAGAUCACAAGUGUUCCGGGUGCAACAGGAGGAGGCUUCUGAUCCAGUUUGUUUGGUUUUUUUCUGAGGUUUCAGGAAGAUGCCGGCCACAAUCACAGAGCUGGCGAGUGGAACGCUGACAACCGGAGGACCCAAGAGAGGGAAGAUGAAGGCUUCGAUAUUCUUGCAAUUUUUUUCUGUAAAUCUGUAAUUCAUUGUUAAAUGACCACGCAAGAGAAGCCUUUUAGAAAAUCAUCUUUGUCUUCUUAUUCCAGCUUUUAACCUGUUAGAGCCGCCUGGUCCCAGAAAAAGGAAAAUUCAUGACAUGAUUGUGUUGAGAGGACACAAUCCACCCUUAAGGUCCGUCUUCCGGGGAAUCGCUCUCAGUGAGGAGGCAGCAGCAGGAGAGCCUUUGCGUUUAUCUGAGGCUGAAGCGGCCUGUGAGAGAUUCCAGGGAAGGGCCAGGAGCCGUGGGUGGGGCUGGGGCCUUUCCAUCAAGGGGCUGCCUCGGCUCUACGCCCAGGCACACGGGGGCCAGUGGCCAGGAGGAUCCAGGAGCCCUGUAUUGGAAGCCUAGCUGGGGGUAGACUUGCUGGGGUCACUAACCCAGGAGUAAGGGAGUUUCUGAGACAUGUGACGGGGCUGGGUGCUGCCUGAGAACCACAUGUCCCUGGCCAGGCCAGUGCUGGAGGUCGAGUGGCCCGGUCAGAGCCUGGAUGGACACCCCACGUCCACUGCAGGACCCCCGCAUCCUCCCACGCUCUCUGCCUCUGCUGGAGAAGGGUGGGAGGGCUCGGGAAGGCAGACACACAAGGAACUUGCUAGAAGGGGCCUGGGGGACUCGGGAACCCAAGAAGGCAGUUCCAAUAGCAGGGAUGAGGACUGCUGCCUGCCAUGUGGCUGAGACUCCAGCUAUCAAAUGCUAGCAUUCAUUUACUUAUUAUUAAUAGAACUCUAGCUUUUUCAUUGGUCUCUUGAGAGAAAAACUAUACUUCACAGCUGUUCAGCAAAGAGUGCCACGUAACUGAGACUAGUUCUAACCAGUGGGAGAGAAGCAAGGAAGUGUUGCUGCCUUCUUUACUCCUUCUUGCUACCUGUAAUACAACAAAAUGGCUGGAGCAUAAGCAAUCUUCUUGGACCAUGAGGUGGAAGCCACCUGUUAAGGAUGGUGAAGUUAGCUGGGUGAAGUGGCACACACCUGUAAUCCCAGCCUCCAGAGGCUGAGACAGGAGGAUCCCAGUGAG